ensembl:lncRNA
AUGUGGGGAAAACCCCAGACACAUCUGAUCACAGAGGCAUUCUGUGUUGAGUGUGAGUUUGUUUUUCCCUUUCCACAAAGUGACUUGCUCAAGAUCCCAUUUCAGAAGCCCAAUCCUGUCCUUUAUUCUGGAACUCACUGGGUCAGAUGGGGUCUUGCUCUGUCACCCAGGCUGGAGUGCAGUGGCUCCAUCUCGGCUCACUGCAACCUCCGCCUCCCAGGUUCAAGAGAUUCUCCUGCAUCAGCCUCCUGAGUAGCUAGGAUUAGAGGUGCCCACCACCACACCCAGCUAAUUUUCGUAUGUUUAGUAGAGAUGGGCUUCCGCCAUGUUGGCCAGGCUGCUUUUGAACUCUUGACCUCAGGUGAUUCGCCCACCUUCACCUCCCAAAGUGCUGGAAUCACAGGCAGGAGCCACCAUGCCCAGCCUAAUAUGCAGAAUUUUAAAGUAAAACUGCCAUUUGUAAAGACUGUAUUUGAAGAAGGGAGAAGCAUCCUCUCCAGUCAGACUCUGAGGACCAACACACACCAGCUUCUGAACACAUGAGGAUUCCAGGCCUUUGCUCAUAGGUAAGCUCAGCCUGAGACCCCUGCAAGCAUUCCCUGCAGUCAGCUGUCGAGAGGGGCCUUGUGACACUGGCACUGGAGAGGAGGUGCCCUGUGAUACUCAGCAGGUGAGAGGGAGCCACAUUGUCAUUAGCACAUUUUUAAAGGGCCACUUGAAAGGCUUUCUGAAAGAUGUAAUAUUUGUCUAGUAACAUCUCUGAGGUCAAUAAGGGUUUCACAGUGUUUAUCUGGGGAACAAAGCAUUCAUACCCUUUUUGUUAGGAGACGUUCUUUGUCUCCUACUGACACGAAGCACUGCCUCAUUCAGGGUGGUGUGUGUGCCAAUUUCCUCAUCAAAGGAUGCCUACGCCUAGAACGGGAGAAGCAGACGCAGUCCCAGGUUCUCUGCGUGUGAUGCUGACGCAGUUGCUUCGGCCAGGUGUGCUGGAUGUGCCCUUGCUCCCCUCCACGGGGCCUUAGCGUGGAGGCCCUGGCGCAGCCCUCGCACAGGUAGAAACGCUGGCUACCUCAGACUCCACCCUCUGCUGCGAGACCCUCCUGCCUCAGGUUCCCCCAUCCCUUUUGGGUAGGAUUGUCAGAACUCUUCCCGGGAAAGUGCUUGGAGCACUGUGGUCCCUGUCCUGUCCUGCCUGUCCUCACACAGGUGGCGCGGUGGCUUAGGCAGAUCGGAUUGGGCCACUUGCUGGCUUCAUCCCCUGGCUUGUGUACACCACAAGGAAGCUGCUUUGCUCCUCUGCUCCUUCUCAUUGGAUGGGCAUGGUGGCAGCACACCCUCAAUGUGUUUGUUGCGUGGGUUAAAUGUGGUAAUGUGUGUGGGGCUUUAGACCAGUGACCGCCACAUGGCAAGACCUCAAUAAUCACUUGUUAUAAAUGUGUUUCAUUAAUUUGGAAUACUCAUUUCCUUCCCCAAUUUUACUACCUUUGCAGUAACAAUGUGCCACCACUCUUCACAGUGGCUUUAUCUAAGUGUUGGCCAUGAAGAGUGCCCAUUGCUGGUGCUUGAGUAAACAUCAGAGGCUCUAGUGCCAAAACCUGCAGAAUGGGUGUCAGUGGCCUAGAAAACCAUCCAGGGGACAAUAAAGGUGGAUUUUCUAGGUCCUAGCAAUCAGAUAGCUGUGGGCGAUAGUGAGUUAGGUGUGCUCAGCAAUAUUCCCAAAGCAAGAGUCAAAAGUAGGCUAGCUCUACAUAAUUGCAAAACCCACGUAAGUGCUCCCAGUGGCUUUUAGUUCUUACAUUGCUUCUUCUAAAGCACUGCAUCAGCCAGACUUGUGAUGCAGAGACACAUUGAGUGGAAAGACCUGAACGUCCCCAGCUCUGAAUCCGAAAGUGGUGCAGCAGACUUUGAUCUGAAUGCGAACUUUUAAGAAUAUCUCAACUUAAUUUACAGAUUUUUUUUCCUUUUACCUAUGUAAAAGAGUAAAUGUAAGAAACCGCAUUACCCAAUAAGCCCAAACAACUAUUUAAAUAAGUAUAAAAUAAAAAUUAUUUUAUAAAUAGACAUAAUCACGCCUCAUGUCCUAGUAAAAUUGGCAAUUUCUUUUUAAAUAAAUAAUAUGCAAAACAAUAUAAUGCAUUUGUAAGUGACUUACAGAAAGAAUUCGGGCUGAUAAGCCAAUAUUUCUUUGUGACAGUUUUUUAGCGUCAGCUUGGCUGGGCUAUGGUGCAUAGUCAUUUGGUUAAAUGUUGCAGUUGGAGGUAUUUCAUAGAUGUGAUUAACAUUCACAAUCAGUGGACUGUGAAGAAAUAAAACAGAUUACCUUCCAUCAUGUGGGGUGGGGGGACCUCAUCCAGUCAGUUCAAGGCCUUAGGAACAGAACUUAGGGUUUCUUGAAGGAGGAGGGAUUCAACUCUUACCUGAAUUUCUAGCCUACUGGCUUGCUCUAUGGAUCUCAGACUUAUAAGCCCCUACAAUUGCUUGAGCCAAUUCCUUAAAAUAGUUAUGUUUCUCUAGAAACCCCUAAUAUAAUCUUUUAAAAUAUGUUGGUUAGAAUUGAGCAAUGUGACCCAUCUAAAACAAAGUUACAUUUAGAGAUAACUUGCUUUUCUUAAUGCAGACUAUUGUUUGCACCAGCUUUCUGGGUGGCUGGUUGUCACCUACCUAGUGACUCUCACUGUAAACUCGGCAUUUCCCCGUGCUCUUGUGAUUGGCUUCUGCAGACACAUGUGCAGGAUCUUAUAUCCAUCCCAAGUAAUUUCCUUUCACAGAAUUUGGUCGAUGACUUCGGCCAUCAUUCACUACUCAGGAGGACUUCCUCUAAUGCCACCUUCCUGUUGGUGGCAACGGUGGUACCUGGAAGGACCCAGGUCUGUGCCCCUGAAGGUUCAGGUGAGGUGGUGCCACUGAUGUCCUCACUGCCAGGUGUGGAGCAGUCAUCUCAGGUCCUUGCAGUGUAGCCCAGGGUCUCUGGAGUUAGUGGCUGUGGGCUUGGGCAGCACAUGAGCCAUUGCAAAUGAGCGGUAUUAAUAGUUCUCCCAGCACAAUCUGUCAUCCCUCAACAAUGCAUUUCUGGCAGUUAAUUAGGAGCCACACAGUGGAAUAAUGGACACCGUGUUUAGAAUUACAAUCUAUCGCUAAACAACAG